rnacentral:tRNA from 1 species
CUGGAUUUGUCCGAGGCCGAGCGCAUCCGCCAGUUGGGUUGGCGCGGCCCGAUUGUGCUGCUGGAAGGCGUGUUCGAGGCGCGCGAUCUGGA